GGGACACGUGGUAUCCUGUCUGAAUAUGGGGGGACCAUCCUCCAAGGCUAAAUACUCCUGACUGACCGAUAGUGAACCAGUACCGUGAGGGAAAGGCGAAAAGAACCCCGGCGAGGGGAGUGAAAAAGAACCUGAAACCGUGUACGUACAAGCAGUGGGAGCACGCUUCGGCGUGUGACUGCGUACCUUUUGUAUAAUGGGUCAGCGACUUAUAUUCUGUAGCAAGGUUAACCGAAUAGGGGAGCCGAAGGGAAACCGAGUCUUAACUGGGCGUUAAGUUGCAGGGUAUAGACCCGAAACCCGGUGAUCUAGCCAUGGGCAGGUUGAAGGUUGGGUAACACUAACUGGAGGACCGAACCGACUAAUGUUGAAAAAUUAGCGGAUGACUUGUGGCUGGGGGUGAAAGGCCAAUCAAACCGGGAGAUAGCUGGUUCUCCCCGAAAGCUAUUUAGGUAGCGCCUCGUGAAUUCAUCUCCGGGGGUAGAGCACUGUUUCGGCAAGGGGGUCAUCCCGACUUACCAACCCGAUGCAAACUGCGAAUACCGGAGAAUGUUAUCACGGGAGACACACGGCGGGUGCUAACGUCCGUCGUGAAGAGGGAAACAACCCAGACCGCCAGCUAAGGUCCCAAAGUCAUGGUUAAGUGGGAAACGAUGUGGGAAGGCCCAGACAGCCAGGAUGUUGGCUUAGAAGCAGCCAUCAUUUAAAGAAAGCGUAAUAGCUCACUGGUCGAGUCGGCCUGCGCGGAAGAUGUAACGGGGCUAAACCAUGCACCGAAGCUGCGGCAGCGACGCUGAUGCGUUGUUGGGUAGGGGAGCGUUCUGUAAGCCUGCGAAGGUGUGCUGUGAGGCAUGCUGGAGGUAUCAGAAGUGCGAAUGCUGACAUAAGUAACGAUAAAGCGGGUGAAAAGCCCGCUCGCCGGAAGACCAAGGGUUCCUGUCCAACGUUAAUCGGGGCAGGGUGAGUCGACCCCUAAGGCGAGGCCGAAAGGCGUAGUCGAUGGGAAACAGGUUAAUAUUCCUGUACUUGGUGUUACUGCGAAGGGGGGACGGAGAAGGCUAUGUUGGCCGGGCGACGGUUGUCCCGGUUUAAGCGUGUAGGCUGGUUUUCCAGGCAAAUCCGGAAAAUCAAGGCUGAGGCGUGAUGACGAGGCACUACGGUGCUGAAGCAACAAAUGCCCUGCUUCCAGGAAAAGCCUCUAAGCAUCAGGUAACAUCAAAUCGUACCCCAAACCGACACAGGUGGUCAGGUAGAGAAUACCAAGGCGCUUGAGAGAACUCGGGUGAAGGAACUAGGCAAAAUGGUGCCGUAACUUCGGGAGAAGGCACGCUGAUAUGUAGGUGAGGUCCCUCGCGGAUGGAGCUGAAAUCAGUCGAAGAUACCAGCUGGCUGCAACUGUUUAUUAAAAACACAGCACUGUGCAAACACGAAAGUGGACGUAUACGGUGUGACGCCUGCCCGGUGCCGGAAGGUUAAUUGAUGGGGUCAGCGCAAGCGAAGCUCUUGAUCGAAGCCCCGGUAAACGGCGGCCGUAACUAUAACGGUCCUAAGGUAGCGAAAUUCCUUGUCGGGUAAGUUCCGACCUGCACGAAUGGCGUAAUGAUGGCCAGGCUGUCUCCACCCGAGACUCAGUGAAAUUGAACUCGCUGUGAAGAUGCAGUGUACCCGCGGCAAGACGGAAAGACCCCGUGAACCUUUACUAUAGCUUGACACUGAACAUUGAGCCUUGAUGUGUAGGAUAGGUGGGAGGCUUUGAAGUGUGGACGCCAGUCUGCAUGGAGCCGACCUUGAAAUACCACCCUUUAAUGUUUGAUGUUCUAACGUUGACCCGUAAUCCGGGUUGCGGACAGUGUCUGGUGGGUAGUUUGACUGGGGCGGUCUCCUCCUAAAGAGUAACGGAGGAGCACGAAGGUUGGCUAAUCCUGGUCGGACAUCAGGAGGUUAGUGCAAUGGCAUAAGCCAGCUUGACUGCGAGCGUGACGGCGCGAGCAGGUGCGAAAGCAGGUCAUAGUGAUCCGGUGGUUCUGAAUGGAAGGGCCAUCGCUCAACGGAUAAAAGGUACUCCGGGGAUAACAGGCUGAUACCGCCCAAGAGUUCAUAUCGACGGCGGUGUUUGGCACCUCGAUGUCGGCUCAUCACAUCCUGGGGCUGAAGUAGGUCCCAAGGGUAUGGCUGUUCGCCAUUUAAAGUGGUACGCGAGCUGGGUUUAGAACGUCGUGAGACAGUUCGGUCCCUAUCUGCCGUGGGCGCUGGAGAACUGAGGGGGGCUGCUCCUAGUACGAGAGGACCGGAGUGGACGCAUCACUGGUGUUCGGGUUGUCAUGCCAAUGGCACUGCCCGGUAGCUAAAUGCGGAAGAGAUAAGUGCUGAAAGCAUCUAAGCACGAAACUUGCCCCGAGAUGAGUUCUCCCUGACCCUUUAAGGGUCCUGAAGGAACGUUGAAGACGACGACGUUGAUAGGCCGGGUGUGUAAGCGCAGCGAUGCGUUGAGCUAACCGGUACUAAUGAACCGUGAG
rnacentral:rRNA from 1 species